UAAGACACUUAACUCCAGGUUGCUCCGGGGGGAUUGUCCCUGUAAUAAGUGCUCUGUAUAAUACAUUGGUACUCAGAAGGUUGCUGGUUCGAUCCCCACAGUCACCACCAUUGUGUCCUUGAGUAAGACACUUAACUCCAGGUUGCUCCGGGGGGAUUGUCCCUGUAAUAAGUGCUCUGUAUAAUACAUUGGUACUCAGAAGGUUGCUGGUUCGAGCCCCACAGUCACCACCAUUGUGUCCUUGAGUAAGACACUUAACUCCAGGUUGCUCCGGGGGGAUUGUCCCUGUAAUAAGUGCUCUGUAUAAUACAUUGGUACUCAGAAGGUUGCUGGUUUGAUCCCCACAGUCACCACCAUUGUGUCCUUGAGUAAGACACUUAACUCCAGGUUGCUCCGGGGGGAUUGUCCCUGUAAUAAGUGCUCUGUAUAAUACAUUGGUACUCAGAAGGUUGCUGGUUUGAUCCCCACAGUCACCACCAUUGUGUCCUUGAGUAAGACACUUAACUCCAGGUUGCUCCGGGGGAUUGUCCCUGUAAUAAGUGCUCUGUAUAAUACAUUGGUACUCAGAAGGUUGCUGGUUUGAUCCCCACAGUCA